GGUUUAAGCAUGGUUUAAGUUAUUGGUUUAUUUGGUUUAGUCCUUUUUCAUUUAAUUAGAUUUUUUUAUAUUUUUGUAAACUAAUUUAAUUAUAAAUUAUUUUAUAUAAUAAAAAAUUAAAUAUAUAAACGAGUUUAAAUUUUAAUUAUGUUUUUAAUUUUUUUUAAUUUUUUUUAUAAUAGAAAUAAUAAUGAAAAUUAUACGUUAUUAAAAAAUAUUUAAUUGAAGAUAGAAAAGCGCUAUCCUAGCAAGAGAAAAGAUAGCAGUGCUAAAAACCGUUAUCUAAAGUGCUUGACCUAUUAUCACGGGCAAUGAUACAGCGUUUCUUAAACCGAUAUCGUAUCGAUAGAUAGCGUUUUUCGUCCGCUAGUAAAAGCUAUUUUUCUUGUAGUGAUUCAGAUAAAAGUACUCAUCACCAAGGUGAAAACUCAUCAGAAGGCUGCAUCUUAUGUUGACAAAAACCUUUCUGAAGUGAGUGCUAGCCGCUAGGGUAUUGCCACAUCGUUCCAGCUCCACGGGGAGGUAAUAAUCGUUUAGCCAUUAUAGUUGUAAAAGUAUAGUAAUUUUACUUUUUGGUUUUGAUGGCCAAAUGGUCUUAGUUGUCAACUACCAUUUAGAAGAGACACAAGAGAGAGAAGACUGUGAAGGUGGAGAGAGAAAAUCUUCUUGAGUGAGAGUGAGGCAAGAAAAGGAACUUGCUGUUGGAAACGAACUUCGGAAUGGACCGGCUCCUACACAAAAAUUUCUGAAUCAACUGACGUGAAUUAACGUAUUACAUAGAAGUAACAAUUUCAAGAGGCAUGGCGGAAAACGUCUGCUUACUCUGGUUGAGAUUAAGACAACAUAGGGCGCAAAGCUUUCAUGUAGAGAAUCGAGACGAAUGAUGCUUAUUCGUUCUUAUUCUUGGAUCUCUGAAGAAAGAAGAAACUUCCUUUUUAUUUAACCACAACUACUUAUCAAAUCUGUGAAAGCGGUGGGAAAUUGGGUUCGUUGGUUAUGGAACAAUGAGGGGUUACUCGAGCAGGGAUCUCGGUCUUAAGGAUUUUGAGUGGGUCAUACCCAUUCUUUCUGGUCGAUAGAACGGAUCAAUAUGACUCGACAAGUGAUUGCUGAAGCCAAAGAGCCAUUUUACCAAUAUGGUGCUUCAGCGAUGCAAAUGAAAUUCCAGGGUCUAAUGCUUACAUUACUGGACUAAUUAUUAUCAGUGGAAUGACUCUGUUUCCUUCUACCCUCUAGGUCACAAAGAUAUAUUGUAUCUUCAAGAAUUUUAUGUUGGCUAUGUUUGAUGUCUUUUUGGUGUUUGGUUUGUUUGAAGUAGGGAUAACAAGACCGUUGAUAAGGACGGUGGUGAUUCCAUUGAAGGAUCUGUAUACAGAGGUUGUUUUGAAUGAUCCAAAGAAGAUCACUCUAGCUGUUAUUGGUUUCUUUAAUAGGAGCUUUCAAGUGCUUGCGCCAUGGCCUCUGCUUUGUAUUGGGAGAAGAGUCAUGUAGAUUAGUUUUUUUUUUUGGAAGGUGAUGCGUAGUGUGCAGAGAGAGAUGUGUAGUAUUAAAUUUCAAUGGUUGUCUAUGUUGUAUUGUAUGGUUUAAAAUUCUUUGAGGAAACCCUGUAAAAGUGUUUGGUUGUUAAUUUUAUCAAAGAUGAAAAAAUAUUUUAAAA